UAGCUUCCACUGAUUUAUAUAAAAAGUGCAUUUCAAUUUAGCUGUAUGCCUGUAUCCUUAUCAGUUUAGGCGGCUUUACUCUUUUCCCAUGUUAAUUUUUAUCAAUUCUGAAAGCUUUGUGAUCGUCUCUUGAUCUCUGUCUUGGUUGUAUCACGUCUUCCUGAGCUUCCGUGGAUAAGACAUUCGCAAAGGAUUUCUUGGUCACGUUCUGAAAGAGCUCAAAAGCAAGGGAAUCAUACCUUUUAUUGUUCGGUCCAGAGCUUGUAGGAGCGAUCAGACAAUCAAGGGUAGCCGUUUUAUUGCUCUCCGCGUAACUACGCUUCUUCAAGCUGGUAUUUUGGCUCUCAAAAGGAUCUCAUUGGUUGUAUCACGUCUUCCUGAGCUUCCGUGGAGGUGACGUGCGCAAAGGCUUUCUUAGUCACCUUGUGAAAGAGCUGAAAAGCAAGGGGAUCAUGGCUUUUGUUGAUGACCAGAUGGAGCGAGGCCAACCUAUAGAUGCCGAGCUCAUAGGAACGAUCAGACAAUCAAGGGUUGCCAUUGUCUUGCUCUCCCGUAACUACGCUUCUUCAAGCUGGUGUCUGGAUGAGUUGGUGGAAAUCAUGAAAUGCAUGAAAGAGAAUCAACAAAAAGUGAUACCCAUUUUCUACGAAGUGGAUCCAUCUCAUGUUAGUGAGCAGACGGGCGAUUUCGGAAAAGCCUUUGAUGAAACAUGUGUGGGAAAAGAAGAAAAGGUGAAGCAGGCAUGGAGGCAAGCUUUGAAGGAUGUCGCCGGUCUAGCUGGUUAUGCCUCUGUCAAUUGUAGCAAUGAAGCUGAUUUGAUCAACAAAGUUGCCUCAGAUGUCACGGCUGUGUUGGGUUUCACACCAUCAAAAGAUUUUGAUGACUAUGUUGGCGUAGAAGCUCAUAUCACGGAGAUGAAAUCGAAGUUGAGUUUACAAUCAGAACAAGUUAAGGUGAUUGUGGUUGUGGGGCCUGCCGGGAUUGGUAAGACGACCAUUGCCAGAGUUUUAUACAACCAACUCUCUCCUGAUUUUCCGUUCAGCACGUUUUUGGAGAAUAUCAAAGGAAGUUAUGAGAAGCCUUGUGGUAAUGACUAUCAGUUGAAGUUGCUUCUGCAGAAAAAUUUGUUGUCUCAAAUAUUAAACCAAAAGGAUAUUGAGGUUCAUCACUUAGGAGUGGCUCAGCAAAGGCUGAGUGACAAAAGAGCGUUGGUUGUUCUUGAUGAAGUGGAUAGCUGGUGGCAACUAGAGGCAACGGCAUACCAGCGUGAAUGGUUUGGUCCCGGAAGUAUUAUUAUCAUUACAACCGAAGAUAGAAAACUUCUCAAGACACUCAGACUGGGAACUGAUCAUAUCUACGAGAUGAAAUUUCCAACUAAAGAUGAGUCUCUUGAGAUCUUCUGUCAGUAUGCUUUCAGUCAAAAGUCUCCAGAAAAAGGUUUUUAUGAGCUUGCUUGGGAAGUUACUGGACUUGCUGGUGAUCUUCCUCUAGGCCUGCGAGUGAUGGGAUCGUAUCUACAAGGAAUGUCCAGGUACGAGUGGAUAGAGGCACUACCAUGGCUCAGGUCUACCCUUGACAGAGAAAUUGAAUCAACUCUAAGAUUCAGCUACGACGCGUUAAGAGAUAACGAAAGAGCUCUUCUUCUGCAUAUUGCAUGUUUUUUUGAUGGUUCCACUGUUUAUAGUUUCAAAAGAUGUCUUGCAAACAGUCGUUUAGAAGUCAACUAUGGGCUUCAACUCUUAGCUCAUAAAUCUCUUCUGUCUAUGGAAAAUGGAGCCCUAAAGAUGCAUAGUUUACUGAAACAAAUGGGAAGAGAAAUUGUCAAGAAGCAGUCUUUGGAGGAGCGACAGUUCUUGAUGGAUACUAAGGAGAUUUCUGAUGUACUUGAAGAAGAUACUGGUACUGGAAAAGUUCUAGGCAUAUUUUUGAAUACUCUCUUUUCAGAGAGAAGGAAAAUCCAAAUAAGUAAAAGCGUUUUGGAUGGGAUGAAUAAUCUCCAGUUUCUAAAAGUGUCCUCUGGUAACUUAUGCAUACCCGAAGGCCUCAACUGUCUUCCUGACAAACUCAGACUUAUAGACUGGAAGUACUGUCCAAUGAGAUUUUGGCCUUCCAAGUUCUCUGGCAAAUUUCUUGUCGAACUAAUCAUGCAAGAUAGCAUUUUUGAGAAGCUUUGGGAGGGAAUCAAACCUCUCCAAUGCCUCAAGCUGUUGGAUUUGAGUGUGUCACUGUGUCUGAAAGAGAUUCCAGAUCUCUCAAAAGCAACGAGUCUCGAGAAACUAGAUCUCCAUGGCUGCAAAAAUUUGUUAGAGCUUACAUGCUCUAUAGGCAAUGCCACUAAGCUUACAAUCUGCAACCUUAGCAGUUGCAGGCUUUUGAAGGAGCUCCCCUCUUCUAUUGGUAGUUUAAUCAAUCUCAAGGAAUUAGACCUCAAUUUUUGCUCGAGUUUGAAAGCACUUAGUGUUUUCUCGAUUUUGGAAAAAAUCAGUGGUUGCUCGAGUUUGAAAAAACUCAACCUGGGCUAUACUGUGAUAGAGGAAGUUCCAUCAUCAGUAAACACUUGGUCUUGUCUUUAUAGAUUGGAUAUGUCAGGUUGUAGAAACCUCAAGGAGUUCCCAAAUGUUUCUGACAGCAUUGAAGAGUUGUUGUUGUGCAAUACAGGGAUAGAGGAGGUUCCUCCAUGGAUUGAGAAUCUAUUUCGUCUGCGUGAACUAGUUAUGGAUGGAUGCCAGAAGCUGAAAAAUAUAUCUCCAAACAUUUCUAAGUUGGAGAAUCUUGAGCUUCUUUCUCUGUGUAUGGGUAAUGACGAUGGCUUAUUUCAAGUUGUUAUUGACCGGGGCUCUAAGUUGAGAGACAGCUGGAGAUUACUAUCAAACUUCAGCGCUCACUACAUUUUGCCGAUAUGUCUACCCGAGAAGGCUCGUUCAUCUCCAAUAUCAUUAAGUUUCCAUGGUGAUGGUUUGAAGACAAUUCCAGAUUGCAUCGGACGUCUCUCCGGACUACAUAAGCUUGACAUCACAAAAUGCAGGGAGCUCGUAGCACUUCCACAGCUUCCAGAUUCCCUUCUAUCUGUAGAUGCAUACGAUUGUCGAUCCAUGGAGAGUAUAGACUCCUCGUCUUUUCAAAAUCCAAAUAUUAGCCUAAACUUUGCUUACUGCUUCAACCUGAAUCAAAAAGCGAGAAAGCUGAUCCAGACAUCAGCUUGCAAAUAUGCAAUCUUACCGGGUGAAGAAAUACCUGCACACUUCCCUCACCGAGCUAGUUCAGGUUCUCUAACGAUCAAUUUUACUCCAAAGUCUCUUCCUUCAUCCUUCAGAUUCAAGGCUUGCAUCUUGCUGUCAAAAGACAAGAUUAAUCUCGAGGAUCAUAAUGAUGAUGAUGAUGAUGAUGAUGAUGAUGAUGAUGAUGAUGAUGAUGAUGAUGAUGAUGAUGAUGAUGAAAAGGAUGAGAACUUAUUGAUGCAUGUGUCUUGUCGCAUCAGAGGUAAACAGGAUGGCCUCACUGUCCGAUAUGGAUCUAACCAGCUCCAUCAUAGGCCAGAUCUAUAUCUAUUGCGAGAGCAUCUUCAUAUAUUUGAAGAUUCUUUAUGUCUAAACCAGGAUUUCCCUGAAGCCAAACAAGCCAUUUUCAGCGAGAUCUAUUUUAAGUUCAAAGUGCCUCAUUCAAAAUUGAAGGUCGAAGGUUGCGGUGUACGACUGUUGGAGGUCCCUCAUUCUAUUAUUGAUGGAAAUGUAGAUGGUGAUGAUGAUGAUGAUGAUGAUGAUGAUGUUGAUGAAGAUGAUGAUGAUGAGGAUAAUGAUGAUGACAAAGAUGAAAGUACUGAUGAUGGUGAAGGUUUGAUAAGACUGGUGAACUGUUUGAUGGGUUGCUUCAUUCAUCGAGAGAAAAGAAAAAUCAGUUGAGCUGCAGAGAGAGAGUAUUAAAAAGACUCCCUUCGGUCUAGAGUCUUUACAGUUAAGAAGCCGUUCAAGUACAAAUCUCUGACGUGGUGAUGAUGGUGAAGGUGCUGAGGAUGAAGAUGAUGAAGUUGGUGAUGGUGAUAAUUAUCACGUUGAGAGGAUAUAGAGAAUGAUGUUGAUAAAAUUCAAGAAGGAGAAGAAUCUGGACGUGAUGAGGAUGCAGAGACGAGGAGCAGGAAAUGAAUGAGGUUAAGCCUUGCGCAGAUUUUUCUGAUUCCCUGCAAUGUAAUCUUCCAAGAAGAGAAACUCAAUCUCAGUACCCCCGGCUAUUCAAUGAUACAGAGAAUCUGUAUUGAAGAAGAUUAUGAAUAGUAACUUUGAUAUUACAUUCCUAAAACACCAUAUCAACUCUCAAAGUGUGAAGAGCUUAGCAUCAGAAACGGAUCACCAAUCACAACACUUUCACGCUAAUGCAUUGAUUGAGAAGAGAAGCUCAGUCUCAACAUCCCCGGCACAACCAAUGGGAGUCUCUUCUCUGUCUGCUAUCUUCCGCAGUGAAGAACAAGGAUUCGAUCGAAAAUACGAAGUGAACAAGUUUUAUGACUACAAUUGCAAAAGUGAGUAUGAAAAUGCCUAUAGACGAGCUAUGAAGACUGUUGUGACAUGGAUUCAAACAAACACACAAGUCUUCUCACGCGCAUUUGGUCCCGUGCAUUUCAGGGGAGGAGAUUGGAGAAGCGGAGGAACAUUUCAUAAUUCAUAUGGAGACACUGCCUGAUUUUGAAGCCUCUCUGGUUCAUCAGAGAUAUGGGAACAUACAGUACUCCUUUAAGAUGUCUUGUCGUGCAAAGAUGUUAAACUAAAACUGUUGAACAUAACGGGUACGGCUGCUCAAAGAAACGGUAGCCACCCAUCACUUACUAUCUGUAACAUCUUUUGGUAAACAUCUUCUAGCUCUUGUAGUUUGAUAGGGUGAUUAGGUUAAUUUGGGUGGAGAUAUGUAAUUAACUUAUUAGGUUAUAAAUCAUAUUUGGUUUUAGUUUACAACUUGUAAAAUACAUCUCAUUACCUCCGAGGCUUAUGACAAU